rnacentral:misc_RNA from 1 species
UUUCCGUAGGUGAACCUGCGGAAGGACCAUUAAAGAGUAAGGGUCUCUGGCCCGAACCUCCAACCCUCUGUUGUUAUAACUACUUCGUUGCUUUGGCGGGACCGCGAAGGUUCUCCCGAGCGCGCCAGUCUCCGGACAGGCGAGCGCCCGCCAGAGUCUAACCAAACUCUUGUUUUAAACCAGUCGUCUGAGUAUAAAAUUUUAAUUAAAUUAAAACUUUCAACAACGGAUCUCUUGGUUCUC